rnacentral:rRNA from 1 species
GAUGAACGCUGGCGGCGUGCCUAAUACAUGCAAGUCGAGCGAACAGACUCUGAGCUUUGUCCUGUGAAGAUUUCGGCGCACAGGGGAGUAACACGUGGAUAACACCUCUCUUAUACUGGAAUAACUUCGGGGAACCGGAGAUCUUAUCGCGUAUUAUAUUGAUCCGUAUGGUUCUAAAGUUAAAAACGUUUUUUCUGUAACAUUUAGAUAUGUCCGCGCUGCAUUAGCUAGUUGGUAAGGUAAAGGCGUACCAAGGCAACGAUGCGCAUCCGACCUGAGAGGGUGAUCGGCCACACUGGGACUGAGACACGGUCCAGACUCCUACGGGAGGCAGCAGUAGGGAAUCUUCCGCAAAGGGCGAAAGCCUGACGGAGCAACGCCGCGUGAGUGAUGAAGGUCUUCGGAUCGUAAAACUCUGUUAUUAGGGAAGAACAAAUGUGUAAGUAACUAUGCACGUAGUGACGGUACCUAAUCAGAAAGCCACGGCUAACUACGUG